GAUGAACGCUGGCGGCGUGCUUAACACAUGCAAGUCGAACGGUGAAGGCGGAGCUUGCUCUGCUGGAUCAGUGGCGAACGGGUGAGUAACACGUGAGCAAUCUGCCCCUGACUCUGGGAUAAGCGCUGGAAACGGCGUCUAAUACUGGAUACGAGCUGCGAAGGCAUCUUCAGCAGCUGGAAAGAAUUUCGGUCAGGGAUGAGCUCGCGGCCUAUCAGCUUGUUGGUGAGGUAAUGGCUCACCAAGGCGUCGACGGGUAGCCGGCCUGAGAGGGUGACCGGCCACACUGGGACUGAGACACGGCCCAGACUCCUACGGGAGGCAGCAGUGGGGAAUAUUGCACAAUGGGCGAAAGCCUGAUGCAGCAACGCCGCGUGAGGGACGACGGCCUUCGGGUUGUAAACCUCUUUUAGCAGGGAAGGAGCGAAAGUGACGGUACCUGCAGAAAAAGCGCCGGCUAACUACGUG
rnacentral:rRNA from 1 species